rnacentral:snRNA from 1 species
AUCGCUUCUUGGCCUUUUGGCUAAGAUCAAGUGUAGUAUCUGUUCUUAUCAGUUUAAAAAUGCCUUCAAAAAGAUACUGUGAUUUAAUACUAAAAAGAAAAGCUUUU